rnacentral:rRNA from 1 species
GAUGAACGCUAGCGGCAGGCUUAAUACAUGCAAGUUGAGGGGCAGCAUGAUAUACGCGAGUAUAUUGAUGGCGACCGGCGGACGGGUGAGUAAUAGGUAGGAGACCUACCUCAUACAGGGGGAUAGCAUAGAGAAAUCUGUGGUAAUACCCCAUGAGGUUAUAUGAAUAGAGGCAUAUAAUCAAAGCAUAAGCGAUUAUGCGGUAUGAGAGGGGCCUACUGACCAUUAGCUAGUUGGUGAGGUAAGGGCUCACCAAGGCGAAGAUGGUUAGGGGUUUUGAGAGAGAGACCCCCCACAUUGGAACUGAGAGACGGUCCAGACUCCUACGGGAGGCAGCAGUGAGGAAUAUUGGUCAAUGGGCGAGAGCCUGAACCAGCCAAGUAGCGUGCAGGAUGACGGCCCUAUGGGUUGUAAACUGCUUUUGAAGGGGAUAAAGUGAGUGACGAGUCAACUCAUUGCAAGUACCCUUGGAAUAAC